AGGGGGUGACGUGGAUUAGUUUCUAUCGGGGGCAGAGCGAGCCCGGUGGUUAAGGGUCAGAGGCGGCUCCUCGGAAGGGGGGCACCGGAGCAGGCUUUGGAUGGUGAGGUGGAAGUGAGCCAGAGGCGUAUCUGUGAUGGCGGUUUUCAGCCAGGACUGACUUCCUUCGUCAGAUACAUGAGAACGCUCUGUGUACCAGGCACAGUGUCAGACACUCACUUCCUCUGCUGUCGGUUAGGGGUGUCCUGGGGCUGCAGACUGCUUGAGGACACAAAAUCUCGGGUGAAAGUCCACGUUCUGUUACAUGGCAUCACUGUGAGUGGGCCUGGACAGAAGAAACGGGACGGACAUAGGAGGAGACACCAGGUCCGGCCACGAGGGUCUGCCCAGGUCUCUUCUGGUGGAAGGCCACUGGAGCAAAGGCUUUCCUCCGGUGGAGGAAACCCGGCAGAGAGGGUCUGAUGACUUCCCAGAUAAGCGGUGGCCGUGAAAUAGGAAACCGUGUCAUCGUCUGAGAAACAGCUCUAGGCUCUGGGGCUGUGGGGUGGCGGUGGAGGUGGGGACACCUCUGAGCUCUGAGUGACGGCUGUUUCUGGGAACAUGGAGGCCAGAGGCCAGUGGCUGCCUGGUGGAGAGAAGCAGUGGGCUGGGGGUUCUCACCUCCCCUCUACCAAUAGCUUUGGGUCUCACGUCUCCUCUACCAAGUGCUUUGUGAAAAGCUACCAAUAGCUUUUCAGCCUCUGGGCAUAAAGUUUCCAUUCUUUCUCUGUUGUAUCUGUGCUAAUGAAAGCAGCUAGCACAUUAGCAGGAUGAUUUUAUUAUGGGUCUUUAUUGCCCCAGGGCUGUGGAAGAAACCUGGAAGCAUUUUUAAGCUCAGUAAUGAGAACUUUUUCUUUGCAAGGGAUUUUUUUUUUUAAUAUCCUAAAAAUGACAAAGAUGAUCACAUGGCAUAAUGGAGUGGUUAAUAUGCACAUAUUCAUUUCUCAUUUAGAGGGCUGACUUCAGCAGCAAGGCCCUCAGUAUGCACACUUGAAACAAUCUGGUCAUCUCUGAUGUUCACUAUUUUGCAGUCAGUUUUGCCCUCCUGCUCCCCCAGAAGAGGUCAUGAUCUCACACUUCGUGGGAUCGAGCCCCAUGUCUGGACUCUGCCCUGGGAGUGCGGAACCUGCUUGGGAUUUUCUCUCUCCCUCUCUCUCUGCCCCUUCCCUGCUUGAGUGCGCUCUCUCUCUCUCUCUC